rnacentral:rRNA from 1 species
AUUGAACGCUGGCGGCAGGCCUAACACAUGCAAGUCGAGCGGAGCGGCGGACGGGAGUGUCAUGUCUAGGAAUCUGCCUGGUCGUGGGGGUUACCGUCCGGAAACGGUCGCUAACACCGCUUACUAUCCGAUGAGCCUAGGUCGGCUUAGCUAGUUGGUGGGGUAAAGGCCUACCCAGGCGACGAGCCGUAACCGGGCUGAGAGGAUGAUCAGUCACACGGGAACUGAGACACGGUCCAGACUCCUACGGGAGGCAGCAGUGGGGAAUAGUGGACAAUGGGCGAAAGCCUGAGCCAGCCAUGCCGCGUGUGUGAAGAAGGUCUUCGGUGUGUAAAGCACUUGAAGUUGGGAGGCGUUACCAACAGAAUAAGCACCGGCUAACUUCGUGCCAGCAGCCGCGGUAAUAC